rnacentral:rRNA from 1 species
AUGAACGCUGGCGGCGUGCCUAAUACAUGCCAGUCGAGCGAACGGACGAGAAGCUUGCUUCUCUGAUGUUAGCGGCGGACGGGUGAGUAACACGUGGAUAACCUUCCUAUAAGACUGGGAUAACUUCGGGAAACCGUAGCUAAUACCGGAUAAUAUUUUGAACCGCAUGGUUCAAAAGUGAAAGACGGUCUUGCUGUCACUUAUAGAUGGAUCCGCGCUGCAUUAGCUAGUUGGUAAGGUAACGGCUUACCAAGGCAACGAUGCAUAGCCGACCUGAGAGGGUGAUCGGCCACACUGGAACUGAGACACGGUCCAGACUCCUACGGGAGGCAGCAGUAGGGAAUCUUCCGCAAUGGGCGAAAGCCUGACGGAGCAACGCCGCGUGAGUGAUGAAGGUCUUCGGAUCGUAAAACUCUGUUAUUAGGGAAGAACAUAUGUGUAAGUAACUGUGCACAUCUUGACGGUACCUAAUCAGAAAGCCACGGCUAACUACGUG